rnacentral:rRNA from 1 species
AUACGUAGGGGGCAAGCGUUAUCCGGAUUUACUGGGUGUAAAGGGAGCGUAGACGGAAUGGCAAGUCUGAUGUGACAACCCUGGGCUCAACCCCGGGAUUGCAUUGGAAACUGUCAUGCUAGAGUGCAGGAGAGGUAAGAGGAAUUCCUAGUGUAGCGGUGAAAUGCGUAGAUAUUAGGAGGAACACCAGUGGCGAAGGCGGCUUACUGGACUGUAACUGACGUUGAGGCUCGAAAGCGUGGGGAGCAAACAGGAUUAGAUUCCCUGGUAGUCCACGCCGUAAACGAUGAAUACUAGGUGUUGGGAGGAACUAUCCUUUCGGUGCCGCAGCAAACGCAAUAAGUAUUCCACCUGGGGAGUACGUUCGCAAGAAUGAAACUCAAAGGAAUUGACGGGG